UACGGAGGGUGCAAGCGUUAUCCGGAUUCACUGGGUUUAAAGGGUGCGUAGGCGGGCAGGUAAGUCAGAGGUGAAAUCUCCGGGCUUAACCCGGAAACUGCCUUUGAUACUAUCUGUCUUGAAUAUGGUGGAGGUAAGCGGAAUAUGUCAUGUAGCGGUGAAAUGCUUAGAGAUGACAUAGAACACCUAUUGCGAAGGCAGCUUACUACGCCUAUAUUGACGCUGAGGCACGAAAGCGUGGGGAUCAAACAGG
rnacentral:rRNA from 1 species